AGUCGAGCGAGACCUUCGGGUCUAGCGGCGGACGGGUGAGUAACGCGUGGGAACGUGCCCUUCUCUGCGGAAUAGCCACUGGAAACGGUGAGUAAUACCAUAUACGCCCUUCGGGGGAAAGAUUUAUCGGAGAAGGAUCGGCCCGCGUUAGAUUAGGUAGUUGGUGGGGUAAUGGCCUACCAAGCCUACGAUCUAUAGCUGGUUUUAGAGGAUGAUCAGCCACACUGGGACUGAGACACGGCCCAGACUCCUACGGGAGGCAGCAGUGGGGAAUAUUGGACAAUGGGGGCAACCCUGAUCCAGCAAUGCCGCGUGUGUGAUGAAGGCCUUAGGGUUGUAAAACACUUUCAAUGGUGAAGAUGAUGACGGUAACCAUAGAAGAAGCCCCGGCUAACUUCGUGCCAGCAGCCGCGGUAAUACGAAGGGGGCGAGCGUUGUUCGGAAUUACUGGGCGUAAAGGGCGCGCAGGCGGCCAAUCCAGUCAGGUGUGAAAGCCCCGAGCUCAACUUGGGAACUGCACUUGAUACUGAUUGGCUAGAAAACGGAAGAGGGCAGUGGAAUUCCCAGUGUAGAGGUGAAAUUCGUAGAUAUUGGGAAGAACACCAGUGGCGAAAGCGGCUGCCUGGUCCGAUUUUGACGCUGAGGCGCGAAAGCGUGGGUAGCAAACAGGAUUAGAUACCCUGGUAGAAGGGC
rnacentral:rRNA from 1 species